AUUAUCUCUCCAUCUUUUCAUCUUUCUACUGCUAGUCUGCUACCAGAAAGUAGAAGCGGAGGGGGAGGCCAAGGCAUAGCCGCAGAGGCGACCGGUCGGUGGACGUGGUCGCGUGGUCGUGUCGGAGGCGGAGGCGACAGGUGGAGGGGCGUACCGGAGGGAAGUCUGAGUUCUGAUUUCUGAGGAACAGAUCGAGAUUACGGUGACAAAUAUCAGAUUUUCUUUUCAAUACACAUACUUGAAAAUAUUUAAUAGCCAAUAUGAGUUGAUCCAAAUAGAAGAGGAUCUUUCGCUUUACAGCGUAUGGUAACUGAUCCCUUAAGCCUCUUCAUGACUGGUUGGGGCAACUGAACCUCUUGUACUACAAUAUGUUUUAAUGCUGUGAAUGCAUUCCUGGUCAUAUGAACUAUAAAUGACCUGCUUAACUGUGAAAAUAUGUACUCCAUGUAUUUUUUUUUUCUGGAAAAUAUAUGUACUGCUUUACUUUUAUUAUGAAUGCUACAAUAGAACUGACAAGAGACAAAAUGGAAUACUUCACUUUAUAUGAACA